GUGCUCAAUUUGGCAGCAACUAUACUAAAAUUGGAAUGAUACAGAGAAGAUUAGCAUGGUCCCUGCUCAAGGAUGACACACAAAUUCGUGAAGCAGUCCAUAAAAAA
rnacentral:snRNA from 1 species